UGCCAGCAGCCGCGGUAAUACGGAGGGAGCUAGCGUUGCUCGGAAUUACUGGGCGUAAAGAGCAUGUAGGCGGAUUGUAUAGUCAGGCGUGAAAGCCCCAGGCUCAACCUGGGAACUGCGUUUGAUACUUACAGUCUUGAGUCCGAGAGAGGGUGGUGGAAUUCCCAGUGUAGAGGUGAAAUUCGUAGAUAUUGGGAAGAACACCAGUGGCGAAGGCGGCCACCUGGCUCGGUACUGACGCUGAGAUGCGAAAGCGUGGGGAGCAAACAGGAUUAGAUA
rnacentral:rRNA from 1 species